GACGAACCGUGCGAACGUUGUUCGGAAUCACUGGGCUUAAAGGGCGCGUAGGCGGACGACCAAGUCGGGGGUGAAAUCUUUCGGCUCAACCGGAAAAUAGCCUUCGAUACUGGUCGUCUAGAGGGAGGUAGGGGCGUGUGGAACUUCCGGUGGAGCGGUGAAAUGCGUUGAUAUCGGAAGGAACUCCGGUGGCGAAAGCGACACGCUGGAUCUCAUCUGACGCUGAGGCGCGAAAGCGUGGGGAGCAAACAGG
rnacentral:rRNA from 1 species